rnacentral:rRNA from 1 species
UACAGAGGGGGCAAGCGUUGUUCGGAAUUACUGGGCGUAAAGGGCGCGUAGGCGGCCUGCUAAGUCGAACGUGAAAUCCCCGGGCUCAACCCGGGAACUGCGUCCGAUACUGGCAGGCUUGAAUCCGGGAGAGGGAUGCGGAAUUCCAGGUGUAGCGGUGAAAUGCGUAGAUAUCUGGAGGAACACCGGUGGCGAAGGCGGGUCUCUGGGCCGAUACUGACGCUGAGGAGCGAAAGCGUGGGGAGCGAACAGG